GACGAACGCUGGCGGCGUGCUUAACACAUGCAAGUCGAACGGAAAGGCCCUGCUUUUGUGGGGUGCUCGAGUGGCGAACGGGUGAGUAACACGUGAGUAACCUGCCCUUGACUUUGGGAUAACUUCAGGAAACUGGGGCUAAUACCGGAUAGGAGCUCCUGCUGCAUGGUGGGGGUUGGAAAGUUUCGGCGGUUGGGGAUGGACUCGAGGCUUAUCAGCUUGUUGGUGGGGUAGUGGCUUACCAAGGCUUUGACGGGUAGCCGGCCUGGGAGGGUGACCGGGCACAUUAGGACUGAGGUACGGCCCAGACGCCAACGGGAGGCAGCGGUGGGGAAUAUGGCACAAUGGGCGGAAGCCUGAUGCAGCGACGCCGCGUGCGGGAUGACGGCCUUCGGGUUGUAAACCGCUUUCGACUGUGACGAAGCGUGAGUGACGGUAAUGGGUAAAGAAGCACCGGCUAACUACGUG
rnacentral:rRNA from 1 species